CCGCUUACAACAAUUUCGUUGACACCAUUCUUUUCCUGAUGUAUAUUCGGGUUGUGGGCUAGGCCAAAUCGCCAUUGUCAAAUGAAUAUGAAGGGAAUGUUUAGCGAAUGCAAGGUAAAGUAAAAUGGUUCAACGCGGAAAAAGGUUACGGCUUCAUUGAGACGGAACAAGGCGGCGAUGUAUUCGUGCAUUUCUCCGCUAUCCAAAUGGACGGCUACAAGGCCCUCGAAGAAGGCCAAUCCGUCGAGUUUGACAUUGUGCAAGGCGCAAGAGGCCCGCAAGCAGCUAACGUUGUUAAACUGUAAUGAUUAGGCGUUUCAUGCGCCUGCUAAAUAG
rnacentral:sRNA from 1 species